rnacentral:rRNA from 1 species
GAUGAACGCUAGCUACAGGCUUAACACAUGCAAGUCGAGGGACCGACGCACGUGUUAGUCACACGUAUCCACCCUGCCCUUUACUCGGUGAUAGCCUUUCGAAAGACAGAUUUAUACACGAUCUAAAGGAUGGGGAUGCGUUCGAUUAGGUUGUUGGUGAGGUACCGGCUCCCCAAGCCUUCGAUGGAUAGGGGUUCUGAGAGGAAGGUCCCCUACAUUGGAACUGAGACACGGUCCAAACUCCAACGGGAGGCAGCAGUGGGGAAUAAUGGGCAAUGGGGGUUAGCCGGAACCAGCCAAGUAGCGGAAAGGAUGAAGGCGUAUGGGUCGAAAACUAGUUUUAUAUAAGAAGAUGUAUUAUAUGAAUAAGGAUCGGCUAAAUCCGUGCCAGCAGCCGCGGUAAUAC